ensembl:lncRNA
GUUCCUUUAUAGGUUAGCUCAUUCUUUCAAUUGAUAUGUGUUCAGAGUGAGCCUGACUAUCACUGUAUUCAUUUUCAAGGCAUUUUACUGUAUAGUUUUGGAGAAAACUAAAAGCAAAAUCACCCAAAACAACAAAAUGCAUCCUAGCAAUUGCACUCUGUCCCAUUUUCCAACACUCAUAAAAAGGGUUUCUUUAUAGGUUAGCUCAUCCUUUCAAUGGAUAUAUAUUCAGAUUGACCCUGACUAUCACUGUAUUCAU